rnacentral:rRNA from 1 species
UCCCAGCAGUCCAAGUCGCAGCCACAAUUAUUGGGUCUAAAAUAUCCGUAGCUUGCUUUAUAAGUCUCUUGUGAAAUCUGGCCUCUUAAGGGUCGGGCGUGCAAGAGAUACUAUUUAGCUAGAGACCGGGAGACGUAAGAAGUACGAAUGGGGUAGCGGUAAAAUGUGUUGAUCCUAUUUGGACUAACAAUAGCGAAGGCAUCUUACGAGAACGGAUCUGACAGUGAGGGAUGAAGGCUAGGGGCGCAAAGUGG